rnacentral:rRNA from 1 species
CCUACGGGUGUCUGCAGUGGGGAAUAUUGGACAAUGGGCGAAAGCCUGAUCCAGCCAUGCCGCGUGUGUGAAGAAGGCCUUCGGGUUGUAAAGCACUUUCAGUGGGGAAGAAAGCCUUGGGGCUAAUACCCUCGAGGAAGGACAUCACCCACAGAAGAAGCACCGGCUAACUCCGUGCCAGCAGCCGCGGUAAUACGGAGGGUGCGAGCGUUAAUCGGAAUUACUGGGCGUAAAGCGCGCGUAGGCGGUCUGAUAAGCCGGUUGUGAAAGCCCCGGGCUCAACCUGGGAACGGCAUCCGGAACUGUCAGGCUAGAGUGCAGGAGAGGAAGGUAGAAUUCCCGGUGUAGCGGUGAAAUGCGUAGAGAUCGGGAGGAAUACCAGUGGCGAAGGCGGCCUUCUGGACUGACACUGACGCUGAGGUGCGAAAGCGUGGGUAGCAAACAGGAUUAGAUACCCCAGUAGUC